GGGCCCGCACAAGCGGUGGAGUAUGUGGUUUAAUUCGAUGCAACGCGAAGAACCUUACCAGGGUUUGACAUCCUGCGAACCUCUUAGAAACAGGAGAGUGCCUUAGGGAACGCAGUGACAGGUGGUGCAUGGCUGUCGUCAGCUCGUGUCGUGAGAUGUUGGGUUAAGUCCCGCAACGAGCGCAACCCACGUCUUUAGUUGCCAGCAUUUAGUUGGGCACUCUAGAGAGACUGCCGGUGAUAAACCGGAGGAAGGUGUGGAUGACGUCAAGUCAGCAUGCCCCUUACGCCCUGGGCUACACACGUACUACAAUGGCCGAGACAAAGAGUCGCAAGUUUGCAAAAACAAGCCAAUCUCAUAAACUCGGUCUCAGUUCGGAUUGCAGGCUGCAACUCGCCUGCAUGAAGUUGGAAUCGCUAGUAAUCG
rnacentral:rRNA from 1 species